AUUGAACGCUGGCGGCAUGCUUUACACAUGCAAGUCGAACGGCAGCGCGGGCUUCGGCCUGGCGGCGAGUGGCGAACGGGUGAGUAAUGCAUCGGAACGUGCCCAGUAGUGGGGGAUAGCCCGGCGAAAGCCGGAUUAAUACCGCAUACGACCUGAGGGGGAAAGCGGGGGACCGAAAGGCCUCGCGCUAUUGGAGCGGCCGAUGUCGGAUUAGCUAGUGGGUGGGGUAAAGGCUUACCAAGGCGACGAUCCGUAGCUGGUCUGAGAGGACGACCAGCCACACUGGGACUGAGACACGGCCCAGACUCCUACGGGAGGCAGCAGUGGGGAAUUUUGGACAAUGGGGGCAACCCUGAUCCAGCCAUGCCGCGUGCGGGAAGAAGGCCUUCGGGUUGUAAACCGCUUUUGUUCGGGAAGAAAUCCUCUGGGCUAAUACCCCGGGGGGAUGACGGUACCGGAAGAAUAAGCACCGGCUAACUACGUG
rnacentral:rRNA from 1 species